rnacentral:rRNA from 1 species
AGUGAACGCUGGCGGUAGGCCUAACACAUGCAAGUCGAACGGCAGCACAGUAAGAGCUUGCUCUUACGGGUGGCGAGUGGCGGACGGGUGAGGAAUACAUCGGAAUCUACUUUUUCGUGGGGGAUAACGUAGGGAAACUUACGCUAAUACCGCAUACGACCUACGGGUGGAAGCAGGGGAUCUUCGGACCUUGCGCGAUUCAAUGAGCCGAUGUCGGAUUAGCUAGUUGGCGGGGUAAAGGCCCACCAAGGCGACGAUCCGUAGCUGGUCUGAGAGGAUGAUCAGCCACACUGGAACUGAGACACGGUCCAGACUCCUACGGGAGGCAGCAGUGGGGAAUAUUGGACAAUGGGCGCAAGCCUGAUCCAGCCAUACCGCGUGGGUGAAGAAGGCCUUCGGGUUGUAAAGCCCUUUUGUUGGGAAAGAAAAGCAGCAGGUUAAUACCCCGCUGUUCUGACGGUACCCAAAGAAUAAGCACCGGCUAACUUCGUG